rnacentral:lncRNA from 1 species
CCCUGAUGUGGUCGUAUGACGAUCUUGAAAUCGUCUUUUGGUAGAGGUGGGAGCUUGGGUAGUUUCCUUCCUUUCGGAGUGGGCGGUCUUUUGGUGUCCGUGUUCACUUCGAGCUUGUCUUUGGCCGGCGCUUUGCCGCGCUUUCGUUCCAACGCUUGUUGCUUCCGUUGGCGUAGCGUUAGCGCCGUUUGGUGGAAGGUACAU